rnacentral:pre_miRNA from 1 species
AUAAUACUCCCUCCGUCCCAAAUUCUUGUCUUAGAUUUAUCUAAAUACGGAUGUAUCAAGUCACGUUUUAGUGUUAGAUAUAUCCGUAUCUAGACAAAUCUAAGACAAGAAUUUUGGGACGGAGGGAGUCACUA